rnacentral:rRNA from 1 species
AAACGUAGGAGGCGAACGUUAUCCGGAUUUACUGGGCGUAAAGCGCGCGCAGGCGGCUUCGUAAGUCCGACGUGAAAGCUCCCGGCUCAACUGGGAGAGGUCGUCGGAUACUGCGGAGCUUGAGGGUAGGAGAGGGAAGUGGAAUUCCCGGUGUAGCGGUGGAAUGCGUAGAUAUCGGGAGGAACUCCAGUGGCGAAGGCGACUUCCUGGCCUACAGCUGACGCUGAGGCGCGAAAGCGUGGGGAGCGAACAGGAUUAGAAACCCUAGUAGUCC